rnacentral:tRNA from 1 species
GGGCCCAUAGCUCAGUUGGUUAGAGCAUCUGACUCAUAAUCAGAGGGUCGUUGGUUCAAAUCCAUCCGGGCCCA